GUUUCCUGCAAUAGAAAGUGAGAGAGAAGGUGAAGGGAGAAAAUACAGAGCUGUACCCCCCCUCCUCCUCCUUACACUAAAAGGUGUGUUACAACCCUGCACCUAUGUACCCAGACUGUGGCUCAGGAGUCAACUCCUCUCAAGGUCCAACGUUAGAGUUUCCCCAAGAUGCACCUGUGAACUGAGGGCGGAAAAGAUGCCUCGCACCAAGCAGAACAACCCGAAAAACUUAAAGGACACAGUUCAUCAUCUCUCCUGCACUCGAGGCUUUUCCUUCAUCAGACAGGAAAUGAUGAUUGCGUGGCAUGCCAUCACAUGCUUAAACUCUGCUGCGGAGAAUGUCUUUUCCUGGGAACUCUCGUCAUGCUGCCCUGAAGCCAUCACAUUAUGAUUCUGAAUGCCCAAGACUGACUUUAAAAAAACUCUGCGCUUGAAGCUAAAUAAGCCUUUUCCACAGUAUUUGCUUUGUUUCAUAACAAAGCAGUAAUUAAUCCCAGCACAGAGGCACUCGUGGUAUGUACUUCAGUAUACAGAGUUUUGGCUGGAUGUUGGGAAGCCUCGGCUCUUCUCGGGUCAUCCCUGCCUCCGAGGCUUGGCAGCAGAGUGACUCUGGUAGAAAAGAAACCACAUUAACAUUUUCCCUCUCGGUCAUAUGAAAUCUGACUCGACAAACUUUGUUCUGUCGGGGGACACAAAUAAUUAAUUGUUAUAUUAACAGCACUCAGCCGGGUCGGGACGGUGUAAUCUAAGUUAUAUUUCAGGCCCUAGUUUGUUGCUCUGUUGUAUUGAACUACAUUAUACAAAGGGAACAUAUUUAAAACUAUUUCUUAAGUUUGUCAAAGUAAAAUGAUAUUUUAUAAAUUAGUUUAGUUGUUUUUAUUAUUUUCUUAAGUUGAUUGCAGGUCUAUUGUAUCAGCACACAGCUUCUUAACCUCUCUGCAACAUUUUUGCCUCCACAGUGAAUGUAAUAAUCUCAGUUUUGGCUACAACCAACAGUUAUCGAUGCAUCAAUUUAUUGUUUUCGUCUAUACAAUGUCAGACAAUAGAGAAAAGUAUUUGCUUAUAAUUGCCCACAGCCCAUCGUGAUGUAUUAAAUGUUUUGUUUUGUCCGACCAACGGUCCAAAACCCAAAUAUAUUCAGUUUACUGUCAUACAAGACUAAAAAAACAGCAUAUUUUCACAUUUUCACAUUUUCA